GCGAAAAGAACCCCGGCGAGGGGAGUGAAAAAGAACCUGAAACCGUGUACGUACAAGCAGUGGGAGCACCUUCGGGUGUGACUGCGUACCUUUUGUAUAAUGGGUCAGCGACUUAUAUUCUGUAGCAAGGUUAACCGUAUAGGGGAGCCGGAGGGAAACCGAGUCUUAAUUGGGCGUUAAGUUGCAGGGUAUAGACCCGAAACCCGGUGAUCUAGCCAUGGGCAGGUUGAAGGUUGGGUAACACUAACUGGAGGACCGAACCGACUAAUGUUGAAAAAUUAGCGGAUGACCUGUGGCUGGGGGUGAAAGGCCAAUCAAACCGGGAGAUAGCUGGUUCUCCCCGAAAGCUAUUUAGGUAGCGCCUCGUGAAUUCAUCUCCGGGGGUAGAGCACUGUUUCGGCUAGGGGGCCAUCCCGGCUUACCAACCCGAUGCAAACUGCGAAUACCGGAGAAUGUUAUCACGGGAGACACACGGCGGGUGCUAACGUCCGUCGUGAAGAGGGAAACAACCCAGACCGCCAGCUAAGGUCCCAAAGUCAUGGUUAAGUGGGAAACGAUGUGGGAAGGCCCAGACAGCCAGGAUGUUGGCUUAGAAGCAGCCAUCAUUUAAAGAAAGCGUAAUAGCUCACUGGUCGAGUCGGCCUGCGCGGAAGAUGUAACGGGGCUAAACCAU
rnacentral:rRNA from 1 species